UUUUUUCUCAUUCUUUCAAUUAAUGAGGGUGUGAGCUUCCACUACAAAAGAUGCCAGAACUUGCACUAGGUUCCAGGCUGAGCAGCCAUCUGAGUUAGAGAAAGAUGGAACACCUACCUGCCAGUUUAUCCACAUUGACUGCAGAUGUGACAUUAGCACUUACAGUCCCUGGAAGUAAGCAUCUGAAACAGGAGCUGGAUCUAACCGUCCCCAUAGACUUGUGGCUUUUGAGAGCAGUCUAGCUGGAGCACUUCAAAUGGGUGACUGCUUCUGAAAGUUGUUCCCCUCGUGAAAAAAACAGGCUGGUACAAAUAUGAUUGCCCUUCUACGGAGCGGUUUGGAAGAUGAGACCUUCACUUUAACACAGGACUUGCUCAAGAGGAGAUAAAGUGACUGCAGACUCCUCCAGGUCUCUAAUGCAAUUGGUUUUCAAAAGCCCUCCUCCUCCUCACACCCCUUGAUGGGGUUAAACACCUCUGUGGAGACUGAAGGGAGGAAUGUUUUUAAUCUCCUUGAUUUAUUAAAAUCGUCUAAAGAUAGCCAGCUGUAACAGAUAAAACUGCUGCCCUCUGCACUUUAGAAGGAUCCUCCCCAAAACUGUUCUGCACGGAAAGUACUGGCAGUGGCUUAGUGACCUCUGGGAUGUGGUGGUACCUGCCUACCCAUUGAUGGCCAAAUCCAGCCCUGGCCAACUUUCAGCAGGGCUGCCUUCUGGCUCUCACAUUCCCCCAUCACUUUGCUCAUGGAGAUCUCAAUGGGGUUGGGCACCAAGCUUGCUGGGAAAACUGCUCCCAGGAGGAUUUCAAGCUUUGGGUGAUAACGUCAAGAGGAAGGAAGGGAGAAGGUUCUGGCAAAGUGAGACAAAGCAGGGGAAGGAUUUUCCCUGAAGGGAUUUUGUACUUUUGGCUUCUCACACC
ensembl:lncRNA